ACACCUCAACUCUCAUGGUCUGCCAUGAUGAGCUUGGACUUUGGGGGUCUUGCCGGCCUAGCGUCGGCUCCUCUCAAAUGGAUCAGCUUUCCAGUGUUUGGUGGCGUCACGGGUGUGAUAAUUAUCUACGCUUGUGGUUUUCCACCAUGCAACCUUCAGCAAUGGAGGUUCGCUGGAGCUCACAGACGUCCUCUUCCCAUAGAGGACAGCUUUUGAAC
rnacentral:misc_RNA from 1 species